CCUACGGGGGGCUGCAGUGGGGAAUAUUGCACAAUGGGCGCAAGCCUAAUGCAGCCAUGCCGCGUGUGUGAAGAAGGCCUUCGGGUUGUAAAGCACUUUCAGCGGGGAGGAAGGCGGUGAGGUUAAUAACCUCAUCGAUUGACGUUACCCGCAGAAGAAGCGCCGGCUAACUCCGUGCCAGCAGCCGCGGUAAUACGGAGGGUGCAAGCGUUAAUCGGAAUUACUGGGCGUAAAGCGCACGCAGGCGGUCUGUCAAGUCGGAUGUGAAAUCCCCGGGCUCAACCUGGGAACUGCAUUCGAAACUGGCAGGCUAGAGUCUUGUAGAGGGGGGUAGAAUUCCAGGUGUAGCGGUGAAAUGCGUAGAGAUCUGGAGGAAUACCGGUGGCGAAGGCGGCCCCCUGGACAAAGACUGACGCUCAGGUGCGAAAGCGUGGGGAGCAAACAGGAUUAGAUACCCUAGUAGUC
rnacentral:rRNA from 1 species